rnacentral:rRNA from 1 species
UACAGAGGGUGCGAGCGUUAAUCGGAAUUACUGGGCGUAAAGCGCGCGUAGGCGGCUUUGCAAGUCGGGUGUGAAAUUUCGGAGCUUAACUCCGAAACUGCACUCGAUACUGCGGUGCUUGAGGACUGGAGAGGAGACUGGAAUUCAUGGUGUAGCAGUGAAAUGCGUAGAGAUCAUGAGGAAGACCAGUGGCGAAGGCGGGUCUCUGGACAGUUCCUGACACUGAGGCAACGGAAGGCCAGGGGGAGCAAACGGG